UACGUAGGGGGCAAGCGUUGUCCGGAUUUAUUGGGCGUAAAGAGCUCGUAGGUGGUUCGGUAAGUCGGAUGUGAAAUCUCCAGGCUCAACCUGGAGGGGUCAUUCGAUACUGCCGUGACUAGAGGUCGGUAGGGGAGUGUGGAAUUCCUGGUGAAGCGGUGAAAUGCGCAGAUAUCAGGAGGAACACCCGUAGCGAAGGCGGCACUCUGGGCCGAUACUGACACUGAGGAGCGAAAGCGUGGGGAGCGAACAGG
rnacentral:rRNA from 1 species